CCUAAACACAUGCAAGUCGAACGUAGACCUUCGGGUCUAGUGGCGCACGGGUGCGUAACGCGUGGGAACCUGCCUUAGGUUCGGAAUAACUCAGAGAAAUUUGAGCUAAUACCGGAUAAUGUCUUCGGACCAAAAGAUUUAUCGCCUUUAGAUGGGCCCGCGUUGGAUUAGCUAGUUGGUGGGGUAAAAGGCCUACUAAGGCGACGAUCCAUAGCUGGUCUGAGAGGAUGAUCAGCCACACUGGGACUGAGACACGGCCCAGACUCCUACGGGAGGCAGCAGUGGGGAAUAUUGGACAAUGGGCGAAAGCCUGAUCCAGCAAUGCCGCGUGAGUGAUGAAGGCCUUAGGGUUGUAAAGCUCUUUUACCCGAGAUGAUAAUGACAGUAUCGGGAGAAUAAGCUCCGGCUAACUCCGUG
rnacentral:rRNA from 1 species